CCAUGACAGGGCUCUUUGAUAUCUGUAAGGGCAGCUGACUCUCCACACUACUGCAGCUGUGCUGUCCAGCUACUGUUCCUCAUCCAGCAGAGCGGAAGUGUCUCGGAAGCUGAGCAAGGUUAGGCUGGAACAGUUCUUGGAUGAGAGGACAACCAGAUCACUGUUGGAAAUGUGGACAGAUGAAGCUGGUGGAGCACGAGGCAUUCACAGAAGAUUAAAUGGAGUAGAAAAUAGGACAUGUCAGACCACACUCGUUAUUAAUCUGCAAACUGCACAUCCAAACUCUUAAGCUUCAAUAUGUAACUAUUUUGUAACUAUGAUGUUAUGUUAUGAUGCUCUUGUUACUGCAUAAAUCAAAGCAAUGAUGUAAACGGAAACAAAGACAUUGGUCACAUUGCGCAUUACCAGACCUGGCAUUAAUGUCAAUGUGUUUUUUUUAAUAAACAAUGCAAUGUCCAGGGAGUCAAAUUCUAAUGUACUGCCCUGAGAAAGAGA